GCCCGGAUGGUGGAAUUGGUAGACACGCUAGUUUCAGGUACUAGAGCCUUCUGGGUGUGCAAGUUCAAGUCUUGUUCCGGGCA
rnacentral:tRNA from 1 species